GCUGGGUAGCUAUGUUUGGAUUGGAUAAACGCUGAAGGCAUCUAAGUGUGAAGCCAGCUUCAAGAUGAGAUUUCCCUCUUUUGGUAAGGGCACUGGAAGACUACCAGUUGAUAGGCCAGGCGUGUAAGCAUAGUAAUAUGUUCAGCUUACUGGUACUAACGCCCGAGGACUUGACCAC
rnacentral:rRNA from 1 species